CAACGCGGGAAAUCUUACCGGGUCCGGACACACUGAGGAUUGACAGGUUCCGAGAGUUUUUGCUUCGGCAAUGCUCUCUUAAAUAUGAUAGUCCUUUCAUGAUUAUGUGAUAGGUGGUGCAUGGCCGUUCUUAGUUCGUGGAGUGAUCUGUCUGCUUAAUUGCGUUUCACUAAAGGCGUCAUAUCUGUUUUGUUGCGUGUUUGACCCCUCUUCGGAGCGCGUGUCUUCACGCACAAUUACUUUGGCGUCUGAAAGCAACGAACGUGACCGUAACCUCUUGUUGCCUUCUCUUCUCCUCGGAGAAUGCUGUUUGUUUUUGCAGGCAGUAUAUGGAGGCUUUUUUACUCAACAACUAGAGGGACCGCUGUUUCUUUCUUUAAACCAGAGGAAGGAUACGGCAAUAACAGGUCUG
rnacentral:rRNA from 1 species